AGAACGAACGCUGGCGGCAUGCCUAAUACAUGCAAGUCGAACGAACACUUCGGUGUUAGUGGCGCACGGGUGCGUAACGCGUGGGAAUCUGCCCUUGGGUUCGGAAUAACAGUUGGAAACGACUGCUAAUACCGGAUGAUAUCGAAAGAUCAAAGAUUUAUCGCCCAGGGAUGAGCCCGCGUAGGAUUAGCUAGUUGGUGAGGUAAAGGCUCACCAAGGCGACGAUCCUUAGCUGGUCUGAGAGGAUGAUCAGCCACACUGGGACUGAGACACGGCCCAGACUCCUACGGGAGGCAGCAGUAGGGAAUAUUGGACAAUGGGCGCAAGCCUGAUCCAGCAAUGCCGCGUGAGUGAUGAAGGCCUUAGGGUGUAAAGCUCUUUUACCCGAGAUGAUAAUGACAGUAUCGGAGAAUAAGCCCCGGCUAACCUCCGUGCCAGCAGCCGCGGU
rnacentral:rRNA from 1 species